UACAGAGGGUGCAAGCGUUAAUCGGAGUUACUGGGCGUAAAGGGCGCGUAGGCGGUUUGUUAAGUGAGAUGUGAAAUCCCUGGGCUUAACCUAGGAACUGCAUCUUAAACUGGCGAGCUGGAGUAUUGUAGAGGGUAGUGGAAUUUCCGGUGUAGCGGUGAAAUGCGUAGAGAUCGGAAGGAACACCAGUGGCGAAGGCGGCUACCUGGACAAAUACUGACGCUGAGGCGCGAGAGCGUGGGGAGCAAACAGG
rnacentral:rRNA from 1 species